rnacentral:rRNA from 1 species
GACGAACCGUGCGAACGUUGUUCGGAAUCACUGGGCUUAAAGGGCGCGUAGGCGGGCGUACGAGUCAGGGGUGAAAGCCCCCGGCCCAACCGGGGAAGUGCCCCUGAUACCGGACGUCUCGAGGGGGGUAGGGGUCGCCGGAACUUCCGGUGGAGCGGUGAAAUGCGUAGAUAUCGGAAGGAACGCCGGUGGCGAAAGCGGGCGACUGGACCCCGUUCUGACGCUGAGGCGCGAAAGCCAGGGGAGCGGAACGGGG